rnacentral:rRNA from 1 species
UGAGGAAUAUUGGUCAAUGGACGAGAGUCUGAACCAGCCAAGUAGCGUGAAGGAUGACUGCCCUAUGGGUUGUAAACUUCUUUUAUACGGGAAUAAAGUGAGGCACGUGUGCCUUUUUGUAUGUACCGUAUGAAUAAGGAUCGGCUAACUCCGUGCCAGCAGCCGCGGUAAUACGGAGGAUCCGAGCGUUAUCCGGAUUUAUUGGGUUUAAAGGGAGCGUAGGCGGACGCUUAAGUCAGUUGUGAAAGUUUGCGGCUCAACCGUAAAAUUGCAGUUGAUACUGGGUGUCUUGAGUACAGUAGAGGCAGGCGGAAUUCGUGGUGUAGCGGUGAAAUGCUUAGAUAUCACGAAGAACUCCGAUUGCGAAGGCAGCUUGCUGGACUGUAACUGACGCUGAUGCUCGAAAGUGUGGGUAUCAAACAGGAUUAGAUACCCUGGUAGUCCACACAGUAAACGAUGAAUACUCGUUGUUUGCGAUAUACAGUAAGCGGCCAAGCGAAAGCGUUAAGUAUUCCACCUGGGGAGUACGCCGGCAACGGUGAAACUCAAAGGAAUUGACGGGGGCCCGCACAAGCGGAGGAACAUGUGGUUUAAUUCGAUGAUACGCGAGGAACCUUACCCGGGCUUGAAUUGCAACUGAAUGAUGUGGAGACAUGUCAGCCGCAAGGCAGUUGUGAAGGUGCUGCAUGGUUGUCGUCAGCUCGUGCCGUGAGGUGUCGGCUUAAGUGCCAUAACGAGCGCAACCCUUAUCGAUAGUUACCAUCAGGUUAUGCUGGGGACUCUGUCGAGACUGCCGUCGUAAGAUGUGAGGAAGGUGGGGAUGACGUCAAAUCAGCACGGCCCUUACGUCCGGGGCUACACACGUGUUACAAUGGGGGGUACAGAAGGCAGCUACACGGCGACGUGAUGCUAAUCCCGAAAGCCUCUCUCAGUUUGGAUUGGAGUCUGCAACCCGACUCCAUGAAGCUGGAUUCGCUAGUAAUCGCGCAUCAGCCACGGCGCGGUGAAUACGUUCCC